rnacentral:rRNA from 1 species
GAUGAACGCUAGCUACAGGCUUAACACAUGCAAGUCGCGGGGCAGCAUGGGGGUUGCUUGCAAUCCCCGAUGGCGACCGGCGCACGGGUGAGUAACGCGUAUCCAACCUGCCCUUCACCACGGGAUAACCCGGCGAAAGUCGGACUAAUACCGUAUGUUGUCCAUUGACGGCAUCCGAUUUGGACGAAAGGUUUGGCGGUGAAGGAUGGGGAUGCGUCCGAUUAGCUGGACGGCGGGGUGACGGCCCACCGUGGCGACGAUCGGUAGGGGUUCUGAGAGGAAGGUCCCCCACACUGGAACCGAGACACGGUCCAGACUCCGACGGGAGGCAGCAGUGAGGAAGAUUGGUCAAUGGGCGUAAGCCUGAACCAGCCAAGUAGCGUGCAGGAUGACGGCCCUAUGGGUUGUAAACUGCUUUUAUGCGGGGAUAAAGUGGCCCACGUGUGGGUUUUUGCAGGUACCGCAUGAAUAAGGACCGGCUAAUUCCGUG